ACCUACCCUCUAUUGUACUAUGACUUGGUGUCUGCCUGAGGACAACAGUCUGGUUCAGGGCUGACCAGACUGAGGUGGGUGGUGUUUUCCUAGCAGAGCUGGUUUGGCCCAGCUAGCUACUCCAGCAAAAAUGUAUUGUGGGAAUCAGUUUGUUCUCUCACAGUGAGGGAAAUUUUCCAGCCAAUACAUUUGAUUGUUCUUGUGUGAAUGGCGCCAAGUAUUAGAAGGGGAGAAAUGACAUAAGUUUAUGUGAAACCGGCUCCUGCCUGUUUCGGCUGGACACACCCAGUUCAGAAUGCUGUGAAUGUGAGUUACCCAGGGUUUGGGAGAGAGGGCAACGCAGACAGUAAUACCACAUGGCCACGGAAGCUGUUAAAAUACUGAAUUCCUUCUGUACCAGCUUACUUACCUGUUCCUGUUUUCUACUGGCCACUCAGAAUGAUGGGGAUAAGAGAAAUAAAGAAUUCUAUUUCUGAUUUCUUCCCAGGACACCAAGGUACUUUGAUUUAUUUUUUAGGGGUUGAGGUGUGCUCAGAUCACAGGUAAGAAGAAUAUGAGAAAUUAAAUCUCACUGCUUAAAAAAAUGUUCUUCACCUGACUAGUAGCAGCAGAAGAGGUGUGAAUGUGAAUUCACUCUACACUCCUUAGGUGUUAACAUUGCCUAAAUAUGAAAAUUAAGUACCAUUGGCUUCUCUCACUUAAAAAAAAAUAAA
rnacentral:lncRNA from 12 species